CCUACGGGUGGCAGCAGUGAGGAAUAUUGGUCAAUGGACGAGAGUCUGAACCAGCCAAGUAGCGUGAAGGAUGACUGCCCUAUGGGUUGUAAACUUCUUUUAUAAAGGAAUAAAACGAGGCACGGGUGCCUUUUUGCAUGUACUUUAUGAAUAAGGACCGGGUAACUCCGUGCAAGCAGCCGCGGUAAUACGGAGGAUCCGACCGUUAUCCGGAUUUAUUGGGUUUAAAGGGAGCGUAGGUGGGUUGUUAAGUCAGUUGCGAAAGUUGGCGGUUCAACCGUAAAAUUGCAAUUGAUACUGGCAGUCUUGAGUACAGUUGAGGUAGGCGGAAUGCGUGGUGUAGCGGUGAAAUGCUUAGAUAUCACGCAGAACCCCGAUUGCGAAGGCAGCUUACUGAUCUGUGACUGACAUUGAUGCUCGAAAGUGUGGGUAUCGAACAGGAUUAGAUACCCGGGUAGUC
rnacentral:rRNA from 1 species